rnacentral:rRNA from 1 species
GCGUGGGUGAUGAAGGCCUUCGGGUUGUAAAGCCCUUUUGGCGGGGACGAUGAUGACGGUACCCGCAGAAUAAGCCCCGGCUAACUUCGUGCCAGCAGCCGCGGUAAUACGAAGGGGGCUAGCGUUGUUCGGAAUUACUGGGCGUAAAGGGCGCGCAGGCGGCUUGUCGAGUUGGGCGUGAAAGGCCUGGGCUUAACCUGGGACAUGCGCUCGAUACUGGCAGGCUCGAGUGUGGGAGAGGAUGGUGGAAUUCCCAGUGUAGAGGUGAAAUUCGU